UUAAAAAUUAAAUUUGUACCUCAUAUAAUAGUGGGAAUAUGGCCCACAAGUCUCUACCGGAUACCGUAAAUAGUCCGACUAUGAGGGAAGUGUACCUAGGU
rfam:Halanaerobium praevalens DSM 2228, complete genome.